GGAUAUGAUGGCGAUCUGGCUGUGACAUAUGUCACCCCAUUGAUCACCAGAGUUGAUUCAGCUAAUCUGCUCCAUGUGUGUCCCUCCCGAAGCUGUGCGCUUGGUCGAAGAGGACAGCCUUCCCCGAAUAGAGAUGACAGACUGGUCUUCCAUUGAGGGUAUACAAGUAGCUGCGCUCCUCUGCUAGAACCUCCAAACAAGCUUUCAGGAUAAGUCUUCUUUGAGUGGCAGAAUAAGAAGACCUAACCUCCCUUUGGAGGCAAUCCCUACUAAUG
rnacentral:snRNA from 1 species